rnacentral:rRNA from 1 species
UACGUAGGGUGCGAGCGUUGCCCGGAUUUAUUGGGCGUAAAGGGCGCGUAGGCGGCCACGCACGUCCGUUGUGAAAUCGCCCGGCUCAACUGGGCGGGGUCAGCGGAUACGGUGUGGCUCGAGCAAGCUAGGGGGCAAUGGAAUUCCCGGUGUAGUGGUGGAAUGCGCAGAUAUCAGGAGGAACACCGGCGGCGAAGGCGGCACUCUGGGCCGGUACUGACGCUGAGGAGCGAAAGCGUGGGUAGCAAACAGG